UAGUGCGAAAACGAAAUAAAUAGUUAAGGUUUACAUUCCUUACACACAAAAAACUUAAAGUCCCAAAUAGUGCUACGAAAAUUACCCUUUGAAGGAAAUACAAAAAACCUAAGGAAAUAAACGAAAAAUAAAUAAACUGACAUACUACUCAUAACCCUCUUGUGGAUCGGGCUCUGGAUCCUAGUCCUCUUGAUCUGACAUUAUUAAUAAAUGAAAGAACUAC
rnacentral:lncRNA from 1 species